ACAGAGUUCUCUCACUCUCUCAUUAUCUCUGUUAACCGACUCCAAUUCUCUCUCUUUAACCUAGCUCUCCUUCUAUUUUUUAAUAUGGUAUCAGAUCCACAGAUCAAUGGAAUUUGAGCUGAGGAAUGAGCAAUUGAGAACAAUUAGCAAUCAGAGGGUAUUUUUCGAAGCAGAACAAGCCUAAUUUCUGCCAUGGAUGUACUGUCCAAAGUUCCUUCAUUUUUUAACAAGUUUUAUGUGUUGUUUCCUUUUUUGACCAAAAAUUUACUUCAAUUUCUGUAGUUUUAAGCUCGUUGUAGUUGCAAUUGCAAGUUUAUCCAACUAUCGCUGAUAAUUUUUGUACAAAUAUCGAUCGACGCUGAAGAUCCAUGUUAGUUUGUAUGGAUCCACCAAGUCUUAGAGUACCGGGUGCUCUACAAGUUUCUGCUGAGAGUACUUACACUACAAGAAUUUGAAUUUUUAGUGAUAACAUAUAGUGGCGACCCAAUAGGUUGCUACAAAAUAUUUAUAGUAUUAGCAGCGACAUUAAAGGUUGCUACAGAAGGUUAAUAUUUAGCAGUGACUCUUCUGAAGUCGCCACAGAUGUGGCUGAAAUUUUUAGUCCCGCUAAGAAUAAAAUUUUUGCUCCUAAUUAUUUGUGGCGACUUUAAACUUAUCGCCGCUAAGAGAUUCUGUAGCGACUAGGUCGCUACUAUACCCUAGAAAUUUUAAUUUAAAAUAACAAAACAAAAUUAAAAAAUCCUCUUUUUACUAAUUAGAAGAAACGAACCCCUUCAAAGUUCAGACACACAAACAUAACCUUCCUCUCUCUAGAAAUUCCCCCUUCUCUCUAAAAUCACAUUUGUGCUAAAAUUUGCAUGACCCAGCUCUAAAUCUCUCUAAUCAAAAUAUGAAUCAGGUAUGUGUCCAAAUCCCUAAUCUUUUCCUUUUUCUUUUAGGAACGAAAAUUUCAUCUAGAUGCUGUUCAAAUCCACGAUUUUGUGGUGGAAGAAGCUAAAAAAUAUUAAUCUGAAAAAGGAAAGAAGAGGGGUUAAGUGAACAGACCUUAUUGGAAAGGUCAUUAUUGAGGCGCUCAAUAUCAAGUCUUUGACCAAAUUUCUCUCUAAAUUCUUCAAGUGUGGAUUCAAUUUCUGAAUUGGGUAUUCCAAAACCACGAUCCUUGAGCAUUUCGAGCAUAGUUCUGCGCGCAAUUAAGUAUAUGUGGCUCUCAACUCUCAUAGUUGCUAGUGACCCUAAUCCUUUCUUUUUUGUUUAUACCCAUACUAGUUUAUAUAUAAAUUUAUGUUUGGGGGUUUUUAUAAGGAUUUUGUAAGGAAAAAUUUUCAACAUGCAGUUAGGGAUUAUUGUUAUUUCAGUAGUUUUACAUUUGUAUUCUUAGAUUUCAUCUCGAAUUUCUCUGAACUGUUUAAUAUCUACAGGAAUACAAACAAUAUAUGGCACUUAAACAAUAUAUGCUAUCGUUCAAGGAUGGUAUCGACCAAGGAGCAAUUACAAGGCACUUAAUAUUUUAUCUUUUUUGAAAUAUGUAUAUGCGUACAAUUAUAUUACAAUGCAUAAUGAAGUUUAGUUUUGUACAAUGAAUUGACCUUUUUAGUAAUAAAAAUAUUUAUAAUAUUCGGUUUCA
rnacentral:lncRNA from 1 species